GAUGAACGCUGGCGGCGUGCCUAAUACAUGCAAGUCGAGCGAACAGACGAGGAGCUUGCUCCUCUGACGUUAGCGGCGGACGGGUGAGUAACACGUGGAUAACCUACCUAUAAGACUGGGAUAACUUCGGGAAACCGGAGCUAAUACCGGAUAAUAUAUUGAACCGCAUGGUUCAAUAGUGAAAGACGGUUUUGCUGUCACUUAUAGAUGGAUCCGCGCCGCAUUAGCUAGGUGGUAAGGUAACGGCUGACCAAGGCGACGAUGCGGAGCCGACCUGAGAGGGUGAUCGGCCACACUGGAACUGAGACACGGUCCAGACUCCUACGGGAGGCAGCAGUAGGGAAUCUUCCGCAAUGGGCGAAAGCCUGACGGAGCAACGCCGCGUGAGUGAUGAAGGUCUUCGGAUCGUAAAACUCUGUUAUUAGGGAAGAACAAAUGUGUAAGUAACUAUGCACGUCUUGACGGUACCUAAUCAGAAAGCCACGGCUAACUACGUG
rnacentral:rRNA from 1 species